rnacentral:rRNA from 1 species
GGCGAACGGGUGAGUAACACGUGGGUGACCUACCUUCGAAUGGGGGAUAACGUCCCGAAAGGGACGCUAAUACCGCAUAACAUCCUGCCUUUGAACAGGUGGAGAUCAAAGCUGGGGAUCGUAAGACCUGGCGUUUGGAGAGGGGCCCGCGUCCGAUUAGCUAGUUGGUGAGGUAACGGCCCACCAAGGCAACGAUCGGUAGCCGGCCUGAGAGGGCGGACGGCCACACUGGGACUGAGACACGGCCCAGACUCCUACGGGAGGCAGCAGUGGGGAAUUGUUCGCAAUGGGCGCAAGCCUGACGACGCAACGCCGCGUGGAGGAUGAAGGUCUUCGGAUUGUAAACUCCUGUUGCCCGGGACGAAACACUCUGACCUAACACGUCAGAGUCUGACGGUACCGGGUGAGGAAGCCCCGGCUAACUCUGUGCCAGCAGCCGCGGUAAUACAGAGGGGGCUAGCGUUGUUCGGAAUUACUGGGCGUAAAGGGCGCGUAGGUGGCCUGUUAAGUCGAACGUGAAAUCCCCGGGCUCAACCCGGGAACUGCGUCCGAGACUGGCAGGCUCGAAUCCGGGAGAGGGAUGUGGAAUUCCAGGUGUAGCGGUGAAAUGCGUAGAUAUCUGGAGGAACACCGGUGGCGAAGGCGGCAUCCUGGACCGGUAUUGACGCUGAGGCGCGAAAGCCAGGGGAGCAAACGGGAUUAGAUACCCCGGUAGUCC